UUAAUUGAAGCCAAAAAGAGGCAUAUUACUGUUAAUAAUACUAAUGGAUAUACUUCCCAAUUAAA
rnacentral:tRNA from 1 species